rnacentral:rRNA from 1 species
GACUAACGCUGGCGGCGUGCCUAACACAUGCAAGUCGGGCGGGGUAGCAAUACCCAGCGGCAGACGGGUGAGUAACACGUAGUCAACCUUCCCGAUAGUGGGGGAUAACUAGCCGAAAGGUUAGCUAAUACCGCAUACGAUCUACGAGCGGCAUCGUUUGUAGAUGAAAGGAGCAAUCCGCUUUCGGACGGGACUGCGUCCCAUUAGCUAGCUGGUGGGGUAAUGGCCUACCAGGGCGACGAUCGGUAGCUGGUCUGAGAGGACGAUCAGCCACACU